UACGUAGGGACCGAGCGUUGUCCGGAAUCAUUGGGCGUAAAGAGCGUGUAGGCGGCUUGUUAAGUCUGAUGUGAAAGCCCACGGCUCAACCGUGGAGGGUCAUUGGAAACUGGGGGACUUGAGUGCAGAAGAGGAGAGUGGAAUUCCACGUGUAGCGGUGAAAUGCGUAGAGAUGUGGAGGAACACCAGUGGCGAAGGCGACUCUCUGGUCUGUAACUGACGCUGAGGCGCGAAAGCGUGGGGAGCGAACAGG
rnacentral:rRNA from 1 species